AAAGGAAUUGACGGGUCCCCGCACAAGCAGCGGAGCGUGUGGUUUAAUUCGAGGCUACACGAAGAACCUUACCAGGGUUUGACAUGCUAGUAGUAGUGAAGCGAAAGCGGAACGACCCUUCGGGGAGCUAGCACAGGUGCUGCAUGGCUGUCGUCAGCUCGUGUCGUGAGAUGUUAGGUUAAGUCCUAUAACGAGCGCAACCCUCGUCGUUAGUUACAAGUGUCUAACGAGACUGCCCGUGAUAAGCGGGAGGAAGGUGAGGAUGACGUCAAGUCAGCAUGGCCUUUAUAUCCUGGGCUACACACACGCUACAAUGGCCGGUACAAUGGGCAGCUAAGCCGCGAGGUGGAGCCAAUCCCACAAAGCCGGUCUCAGUUCGGAUUACAGGCUGCAACUCGCCUGUAUGAAGUUGGAGUUGCUAGUAAACGCGCGUCAGCUAUAGUGCGUUGAAUACGUUCCCGGGGAUUGUACACACCGCCCGU
rnacentral:rRNA from 1 species